rnacentral:rRNA from 1 species
AGCGAACGCUGGCGGCAGGCCUAACACAUGCAAGUCGAACGGAUCCUUCGGGAUUAGUGGCGGACGGGUGAGGAACACGUGGGAACGUGCCUUUUGGUUCGGAACAACUCAGGGAAACUUGAGCUAAUACCGGAUGAGCCCUUCGGGGGAAAGAUUUAUCGCCAUUAGAGCGGCCCGCGUCUGAUUAGCUUGUUGGUGGGGUAAAGGCCCACCAAGGCUACGAUCAGUAGCUGGUCUGAGAGGAUGAUCAGCCACAUUGGGACUGAGACACGGCCCAAACUCCUACGGGAGGCAGCAGUGGGGAAUCUUGCGCAAUGGGCGAAAGCCUGACGCAGCCAUGCCGCGUGAAUGAUGAAGGUCUUAGGAUUGUAAAAUUCUUCACCGGGGACGAUAAUGACGGUACCCGGAGAAGAAGCCCCGGCUAACUUCGU